rnacentral:rRNA from 1 species
AUUGAACGCUGGCGGCAGGCCUAACACAUGCAAGUCGAGCGGAUGAUGGGAGCUUGCUCCUGGAUUCAGCGGCGGACGGGUGAGUAAUGCCUAGGAAUCUGCCUGGUAGUGGGGGACAACGUUUCGAAAGGAACGCUAAUACCGCAUACGUCCUACGGGAGAAAGCAGGGGACCUUCGGGCCUUGCGCUAUCAGAUGAGCCUAGGUCGGAUUAGCUUGUUGGUGAGGUAAUGGCUCACCAAGGCGACGAUCCGUAACUGGUCUGAGAGGAUGAUCAGUCACACUGGAACUGAGACACGGUCCAGACUCCUACGGGAGGCAGCAGUGGGGAAUAUUGGACAAUGGGCGAAAGCCUGAUCCAGCCAUGCCGCGUGUGUGAAGAAGGUCUUCGGAUUGUAAAGCACUUUAAGUUGGGAGGAAGGGUUGUAGAUUAAUACUCCGCAAUUUUGACGUUACCGACAGAAUAAGCACCGGCUAACUCUGUGCCAGCCGCCGCCGUAAUAC